AGCUAUGUCCAUCCGCCAUCCGUUGCAAUGAUCGGAUGUCAGCUGGACAUAUCACA
rnacentral:pre_miRNA from 1 species